CCCUUCAUUGGGUUGAAGCAUGCAAUCCACGUCAUUUACUGUGAACAAAUUAGAGUGUUCAAAGCAGGCUUACGCCACUGAAUACAUUAGCAUGGAAUAAUACUAUAGGACUUUGGUGAUUCUAUUGUUGGUUACGCACCAGGGUAAUGAUUAAUAGGGAUAGUUGGGGGUAUUCGUAUUCAAUUGUCAGAGGUGAAAUUCUUGGAUUUCCGGAAGACGAACAACUGCGAAAGCAUUUACCAAGGAUGUUUUCAUUGAUCAAGAACGAAAGUUAGGGGAUCGAAGAUGAUCAGAUACCAUCGUAGUCUUAACCAUAAACGAUGCCGACUGGGGAUCGGUGGGAGUUCUUUUUGUGACUCCAUCGGCACCCUAUGAGAAAUCUAAGUCUUUGGGUUCCGGGGGGAGUAUGGUCGCAAGGCUGAAACUUAAAGGAAUUGACGGAAGAGCACCACCAGGGGUGGAGCCUGCGGCUUAAUUUGACUCAACGCGGGGAAACUU
rnacentral:rRNA from 1 species